GUGGAGGAAGAGGAUGCGCUGGCAGAAGAUGAGAGCGAUAAAGAUGACGAUGCUGCUCAACUGAGGGUUCUGAGACCUGGGAGGCUGUCUCGUUCCCUGAGCCAGUUUUCAAACCAUCCACACGAAGGAACCGAGAGCUUUUCCGUGUCUGAUGUGAGCACGCUUUCUUUUCAUCUACGUGGUGAAGCUACAACACCAGGACAGCCGAAAUUUACAAAUGUAAGGAGAUCCAAUAGCAGUAAGGUGAAAAUAAAGGCCUCCAAGAUUAAGUGGCAGAAACCGAGAAGAUCUAAACAGCCAGUCCCGAAGCCAAGGGAACGCUCUAAGAAGAAUUUAAUAGCUGAGGAACCGUUUCCCCCCUGGCUAGCGGAUCUGAUGGUCAGCAUCGAAGAGGCAACAACUCAUCAGCUAGUGAUUGAGUGACAUCUCGUGAGGUGAACGUGAAACAUUUGGGACACACCAACCUGGGACCUCAUUCGUGACAAACUGAACGUUGAACAAAUUCUGCCUAAUGUGCCUUAUUUAAGGAAGCCACUGACAAGAGAGUGAAGUCCAUGUCGUUUGUUGUUAUACGUGAAUAAACAAAAGGCACGAUAGCUGGUUUCAUUACACAAGAGUUCAAUGCUUAGAGAGAACAUGAUGUGUAUAUUUUGUGCAAGAGUUAAUUGUGUCAUUGUGUUAUCUUCAGUUUGGUAUUUGUGCUUCUAUCCCGCUACUGUCUUCGCUGUAUUUUUAUUUUGUGUAUCAAUCCCUUUUUCAACCAGCACUUGCUGCUGUUAGGUUCAAGCUGAACCCGUUUACCGUUUCUUAAGUUACUAGAUUUGGAUGCCAGUGAAGAAUGUAACACGACGAACCAAAGCUCUCUUCAGCAAGCAUAGCAACGUCAAAGCUGACCCCUCCCCUGCUGUGUGGGAGCAACAUGGCUGGUGCACUUUAGUGUACCGUCAGUCAGAGUUGACUCAAAAUAAAUCAAUAAAAUUUAUUUUUCUAUUUUUUAUGAAAAGAAAGUGUUUUCACCCAACCUAUGUAAGCUAAAGUAAAUCUGCAUUAAAAUACAUAUUAAAGUUUCAGUUCAUGCAUAUGCAAACGUAGUAACGCCGUGGU
ensembl:lncRNA